rnacentral:rRNA from 1 species
UUAGGAAUAUUCGUCAAUGGGGGAAACCCUGAACGAGCAAUGCCGCGUGAGUGAUGAAGGUCUUACAGAUUGUAAAGCUCUGUUGUGAAGAAAGAAACCUUACCAUAGGAAAUGAUGGUAAGCUGACGGUACUUCACCAGAAAGCCCCGGCUAACUACGUGCCAGCAGCCGCGGUAAUACGUAGGGGGCGAGCGUUAUCCGGAUUUAUUGGGCGUAAAGCGUGUGUAGGCGGUUUAUUAAGUCUAAGAUCAAAGCCUGGGGCUUAACUCCAGUUCGUCUUAGAAACUGGUAGACUUGAGUGUGGUAGAGGCAAGUGGAAUUUCUAGUGUAGCGGUUAAAUGCGUAGAUAUUAGAAGGAACACCAGUGGCGAAGGCGGCUUGCUGGGCCAUUACUGACGCUGAGACACGAAAGCGUGGGGAGCAAAUAGG